UGACAGGUGAAUAGUUCUCACAGUAAAAUCGCAUCAGAAACUGAUGCGAUUUUACUGUGAGAACUAUUCACCUGUCA
rnacentral:pre_miRNA from 1 species